rnacentral:rRNA from 1 species
AAAGAAAUCAACCGAGAUUCCCCCAGUAGCGGCGAGCGAACGGGGAGCAGCCCGGAGUCUGAAUCAGCUUGUGUGUUAGUGGAAGCGUCUGGAAAGUCGCAGGGUACAGGGUGAUACUCCCGUACACUAAAACACACAGGUUGUGAACUCGAAGAGUAGGGCGGGACACGUGGUAUCCUGUCUGAAUAUGGGGGGACCAUCCUCCAAGGCUAAAUACUCCUGACUGACCGAUAGUGAACCAGUACCGUGAGGGAAAGGCGAAAAGAACCCCGGCGAGGGGAGUGAAAAAGAACCUGAAACCGUGUACGUACAAGCAGUAGGAGCCC